rnacentral:rRNA from 1 species
AUUGAACGCUGGCGGCAGGCCUAACACAUGCAAGUCGAACGAGUGGCGGACGGGUGAGUAAUGCCCGGGAAACUGCCUGAUGGAUGGGGACAACUACUGGAAACGGUAGCUAAUACCGCAUACCAUCGGAUGUGCCCAGAUGGGAUUAGCUAGUAGGUGGGGCAAAGGCUCACCAAGGCGACGAUCCCUAGCUGGUCUGAGAGGAUGACCAGCCACACUGGGACUGAGACACGGUCCAGACUCCUACGGGAGGCAGCAGUGGGGAAUAGUGCACAAUGGGCGCAAGCCUGAUGCAGCCAUGCCGCGUGUAUGAAGAAGGCCUUCGGGUUGUAAAGUACUUUCGGCGGGAAAGCGUUACCCGCAGAAGAAGCACCGGCUAACUCCGUGCCAGCAGCCGCGGUAAUUC